ACUAAUAUGUUAUAUUAUUGUUAAUUGUAUUAUUAUUAUUAUUAUUUAUUGACUUUUAUUAUUAUAAAAAAAAAGCAUAUUAAACCUGUUAUUACACUAAUUAGUCAUACAUAUAUAUAUACACGUAUAUAUGUAACGUGUGUGUAUAUAAACUAUACACACACUUACACACCCAUCUUUAUCAAACUGAGUACUCGGUCAAAGUCAUAUAUUCCAACCGUCAACCCCAUUUCACACCUCCUCAACAAUCAUGAAGUUUGAAACAAUACAUCCCACAUAUUGCCUAAGAAAACAUCGAACCAAUCACAAGACGCCACAUCGGCAUGCUGCAAAAACGCAUAAACGUUCGUCUUACAAAACAUCAAAAUGCCGUGGCAGAAGAUUAGAGAAAUAAGAAACUCAAACCUCGUGACCAACCAAAAAAACCAUCUAAAGGAUAUUUCGUCUAUACACAUAUAUGUACGUACGUACGUGUGUAUCGAUAUGGUUGGAUCAGAGAUUCGUAUGAAUUGUUUGGAGAGGUGAAAUGUGUAUGUACGUGCAGUUUACAGAUAAAUAAUUUUGCGAUUUGUAUCAAAUCUUAAAUAAAAUAUAAAACAAUAAGGUUUGAUUAAAAUUUGCAGAUCCAAUAAUUAAACUUGUCAAUUUCGUAUGAAUAAAAAUAAAAAAACAACAGCGAACGGCGAAAAUGGAAUGGAAAUCGAGAGGAGGGAGCGACCGACUGCAUGCAGGCGGCGAAGCAUACAGGACCAUAUAUGCAGAAGGAAAAUUAGGAGGAAGAUGGGUGGUUUAACGGUGGGCCCCACGUGGGCCGUGUGGUCCCACCCGAGGCACGUGGAAUGUGGGGACCAUAUACGUUGGGAUUGGCCCCGGGGCGGGCGGGCGGCUGGUGAAGGGGGAGUUGGCACGUGUGAGGAGUGGUGGUGGGGGGAGAGAGAAGAACAUUACUGGGUUUAGGCAAACAUGGAAGGAUUCUUGGGUUCUGGGAAGCAGAUUCUGCCCUGCAUGGAAUGAUUGUGGAUUUCCUUCUUUCUUUUUUUUUUUUUGAAGCUUGGUUUUUGGCCGUCGCAUUAUUUGAAUAUUUAAUUUAAUGUCCACCAUUUUAUAUAACAUAUAUUUAUAAUUUGUAUUCUCUGAACAGAAUUAUAAAGUACAGAGGUGGAAUUAUAAAUUUUUAAACCCUUUUACUAUUAUAACAACUAUUAUUGCUACAGAGGAUGGAAAGUUAUAGAGAUGGCACUAUGCUACGUGGGAUAUAUUUAUAUUCCAGUUUAGAUCAGUGUAGGGGUCCUCUCUUGUUCAUACGACCGGGGGACCAAUUCACACGUGUUAUUCUGUAGAACCAGUACUCCAAUCCAUAUCUCAAACUAAAACUUCUAAACCACAAGGUACUUAUAACUAAAUUUUCAGUAGUAGUUUAAUCAUCAGUAAUUUGGUAAUUAGGGUUCAUCCCAUGGUUUCAGACCCAGAACACCAUACAACCGAACUUUAUGGUGAUUAGGGUUUCCAAGUCAACAAUUUCCAGUCUUUAUCAAUUAUUUUUCUUCAAAAAACCAUUUUAUGAACCACCCAAUUCUCACCGUAUUAUAUUGAUCACCCAACAGACAGGAGGAUAUAAACCCUAAUUAACUACAUGCGUAGUACAAAAAUGAAAAACUUAGCAGGUAAGAAUUUGUGUUUGUUUGGUUGUGGUUACCUAGAGAGUUUCUAUAAUGAAACCAAGACUUGAGAGUAACUGUUAGUUGUCUCUUUAUACAACUUGUGAAAAGAUCUAACCAUUUUAGGACAGCCAUACCCUAAAAGAUCCUCCCAUAAGGACCACUGCCCUACGGGAGGGCACAGAGAUGUAUAUCAUUAUUUUAGAUCUCAAUCUGAACUGAGAUUUGCUUCUCUUUCCCUCUGCUUCUCAGACUGAAAUUACUAUUUUGCCCCAGGAGUGCUCUGGAGAGGCCAUUCUGUCCCACAGCUCCGGCUGUGUAGGGGCAGUACAUGCUCUGUAACGGGCAUAAAGUACGGGUGUCCUACAGUAGGGCAGAGAGAGAGAGAGAGAGAGAGAGAGAGAGGGAGGGAGAAGACAUGCAAAUGUUGGGUGAAUGAAUCAGGGCCGUCCAAACAGGACAAAUCUGGGUGCAUCAAAUAUGUGGGUGGUCUAGCAUUUAUGUACAGUUUGGUGUAAGUGAUGAAUGCAGCAAGUCGCUAUCAUCUGUUAGUUGUGUUUUUGUACUGCAACAAAAAAAAAAAAAAAAAAAACCUAAUAGUACCAAAGACAUCACUCCCAGACACAAAAGCUAGAUAUGUCUGCUGGAUGCUUUGGGGCGUGCAACUCACGCCCCAUCCUGUUAUAUUUCCCUCACCUUUUCUUGGUACUCUUGGGAGCAAAGCAAGAAGCCAAUUACGUAUAAUAACAGUUCCUAACUCAAACUUAUUUUUUCAUUAUCUACAAAUACUUACUAAAUAUAUAUCAAAUAUUGUAUUUUAUGAUUUCAAUCGUGUAAAAAAAAAAUAUAUACUGUAUUCUAGGACAUGCUCUAAAGACCAGACCUACUUAACAAAUAAGGGGAAAUACACACACACACACACACAUAUAUAUAUAUACACAUGAGAGCUGCUGGUGCAAAUUACAUUUCUAACCUAGAAGUGAAUAAGACAAAAAGAGAGUAAAAGAAAUAGUAUAGUAAUUCUAAUUUACAAGUUUUCCUUUAAUAGUGAGAUUUUAAUAAAUAAAAAAAUUUAUAAGUUGAAAGGUAAACAAAACUCAAACUAAAAAAGUAACUUAAAUAAAAAGUUCAUCAUCUCUACUCAUAUUUUGGCAAAAGAACUGAAAAAGACAACUUACUCUUUUGCUGAACUUAUGUAUAAGCCAAGGAAAAAAAAUAAGUUUCUACAAUGGUAUUCGGUUUAACUUGGUUUCUCUUAGAACAACUUUAGAUUUUGACUUGUACAUUUUAAAAACACUUUUAUAACUAAACGGGUGAAGUAAAAAUAUUUCUAGCAAAAACAAAUUUCUUUUUGAAAAAGUUAAAACACAAACUAUAAUUUGUAACUUUAAAAAAUAACUUUUAACUUUUUAAUAAAAAUUUAUACUUGAAAAUAGUUAAAACGGUUUAUAUUUAGUAAAUUUGGCUUACAUGCCAAUAGCUUAUAGGUUACAUUUUUUAAUAUAUUAAAAAAGAAACAAGAAAACAAACUCUCUUCUUUACCUUAUAAGCCAUGCAACAAAACCCAUUUUGUAGUUUAUAUUUUUAUUAAAAUGUCUUUGUUAGAAAUUACAAACAUUCUCUACUUAAUUUUAAGAGUAAGUUUUCCUUUUUUUUUUAACCCAUAACCCAAAGAGAGUUCAAAAGAUUUGCACAACCCUCUUGGAAAAGAGAGGCAGACAUAACCAAAUUAUUUAAGGUGAACUAGUCAAGAGCUUGUAAGUUUUAUGAACUAACGGAGCCGGUAAGUUUAUGAACAAAUAAGUCUUAUUUAUAAGCUACAAUAAGUCCAAAGAUUUUUUUUCUUGGGAAGGAGGAGGGGGAGGAAGUGGAUACAACAACCUUGUAACAAACAAAAUGAUGAGCUUUCUAUGGCCUAUUUAUUUCCAGAAGAGUUGAAUUAGCAAAAAAAAGAAUAAGAAACGGAUUCCAAGUUAUUGAGUUAGAAAUAUAUGGGAUGAUUGAAUGAAUUGAUAUAUGUGAUAUACAAAACAUGAGGGCAUGGCCUACCUCAGCUUUUAACUUAUCUAUCUACAUGUCCCACAUUUGGUUUGCAAAAGCUACACUCGUAGGUAAGAUGAAAGACGCACACAACAUCCAUUUUCCAGGUGCAACAAGGCGUACCUUACGCAUUUCUACAUCGACAGCCACCUCUGAUAGGCCAAUUCUUAUCCGCUGCAUUGAGAGGCGAAAAAAAAAAAGAUAUAAACAUCAGUACAGCCACAGAUUUUAUUAAGGACAGCCAGAUGCACUCCACCCGCCUCNNNNN
rnacentral:lncRNA from 1 species